UACAGGGGGGGCAAGCGUUGUUCGGAAUUACUGGGCGUAAAGGGCCAGUAGGCGGCCAACUAAGUCCGACGUGAAAUCCCAAGGCUUAACCUUGGAACUGCGUCGGAUACUGGAUGGCUUGAAUUCGGGAGAGGGAUGCAGAAUUCCAGGUGUAGCGGUGAAAUGCGUAGAUAUCUGGAGGAAUACCGGUGGCGAAAGCGGCUCACUGGACCAUAACUGACGCUGAUGCACGAAAGCUAGGGGAGCAAACAGG
rnacentral:rRNA from 1 species